GCCUGAGUGGCUCAGUGGUUGAGCAUCUGUCUUCUACUCAGGUCAUGAUCCCGCUCAGGUC
rnacentral:tRNA from 1 species